rnacentral:lncRNA from 1 species
AUGCCUAAUGGCCAAACAAUAAAGUGUCACCAGCCAGAGGCCUAUAAAUAUCUGGGCAUAUUACAGCUGGACAACAUCAAGCAUGAACAUGUGAAAACUGUGGUCAGCAAAGAAUACACACAAAGGGUCAGAAAAAUUCUCAAAAGCAAACUCAAUGGAGGCAACACCAUCAAGGCCAUAAACUCCUGGGCCAUACCUGUCAUAAGAUAUACUGCUGGCAUUAUAAAUUGGACACAGGCGGAACUGGACAAUUUGGACAGAAAAACAAGAAAACUCAUGACCAUUCAUAAUUCACUGCACCCUCGCAGUGAUGUUGACCGGCUAUAUCUGCCUAGAAGAUCAGGGGGCAGAGGACUCUUGCAAGUAAAACAAGCAGUCAAAGAAGAAGAACAUGCCCUGGCAGAAGAUGGAAAGCAAAGUGAAGAGCCUGCUUUGAUUGAAGUCAAAAAUCAGAAACUCCUCAAAGUACAGCAGACAAAACAGCAGUAUAAGAAAACCGCACUACAAACUAGAUCUGACAGCUGGCACAACAAAACAUUGCAUGGAAAGUUCCUUGACAAAAUUGAAGGAAAAGCUGACAAGGAGAAGACCUGGCUCUGGCUCACGAAUGGGACCCUGAAGAAGGAGACAGAAGGCCUGAUCCUUGCAGCCCAGGAGCAAGACAUCAGAACAAAUGCAAUUAAGGCCAAGAUCGAAAAAUCUGCUGAUGACCCCAAAUGCAGACUGUGCAAGGAAACCAUUGAUCAUAUCCUCAGCUGCUGUAAGAAAAUUGCACAGACAGACUACAAACAGAGGCACAACUAUGUGGCCCAAAUGAUUCAUUGGAACUUAUGCCUCAAGUACCACCUCCCAGCAGAAAAGAACUGGUGGGAUCACAAACCUGCAAAAGUAUUGGAAAAUGAGCACGCAAAGAUACUGUGGGACUUCCGAAUCCAGACUGACAAAGUUCUGGAACACAACACACCAGACUUCACAGUUGUGGAGAAGAAAAAGGUUUGGAUCAUUGAUGUCGCCAUCCCAGGUGACAGGCACAUUGACGAAAAACAACAGGAAAAACUCAGCCGCUAUCAGGACCUCAGGAUUGAACUUCAAAGACUCUGGCAGAAACCAGUGCAGGUGGUCCCAGUGGUGAUGGGCACACUGGGUGCCAUGCCAAAAGAUCUCAGCCGGCAUUUGGAAACAAUAGACAUGGACAAAAUUACG